GAUGAAGAACGUAGCGAAAUGGGAUAAGUAGUGUGAAUUGCAGAAUUCAGUGAAUCAUCGAAUCUUUGAACGCACAUUGCGCCCCUUGGUAUCCCGAGGGGCAUGCCUGUUCGAGCGUCAUUUCACCACUCAAGCCUGGCUUGGUGUUGGGCGACGUCCUCUUUGGGGACGCGCCUCGAAACGCUCGGCGGCGUGGCACCGGCUUUAAGCGUAGCAGAAUCUUUCGCUUUGGAAGUCGGGGCCCCGUCUGCCGGAAGACCUGCUCGCAAGGUUGACCUCGGAUCAGGGAGGGAUACCCGCUGAACUUAAGCAUAUCAAUAAGCGGAGGA
rnacentral:misc_RNA from 1 species